UUCAGAGAAGCAUUUAAAAUGAUGAAGCUUGGUCUCCGGCUUUGGUCAUAUGUUCGAGAAGAAGCUUCUCAUGGAAGGAAAGCACCGAUUGAUCCAUUCACGAGGGAGAGCAGGAAACCAUCAGCCUCACAAGGAGUACCCCUUGGUGGGAUGGGCUGUGUGUACCUCAUGUUGAUAAACUUCACAAACAUGCUUCCGUUAUUUCUGUUGCCAACAAUCACUCCUUAUUUAUGAUUUAUUCCCCUUUUCAGGACUGGUAGAGGAUAUCAAGAGGU